UACGUAGGGAGCAAGCGUUUGUCCGGAAUCAUUGGGCGUAAAGCGCGCGUAGGCGGCCCUGUAAGUCCGUUGUGAAAGUCAAAGGCUCAACCUUUGAAAGCCGAUGGAUACUGCAGGGCUAGAGUCCGGAAGAGGCGAGUGGAAUUCCUGGUGUAGCGGUGGAAUGCGCAGAUAUCAGGAGGAACACCAAUAGCGAAGGCAGCUCGCUGGGACGGUACUGACGCUAAGGCGCGAAAAGCGUGGGGAGCGAACAGG
rnacentral:rRNA from 1 species